rnacentral:rRNA from 1 species
UACGCAGGGUGCAAGCGUUACUCGGAAUUACUGGGCGUAAAGCGUGCGUAGGUGGUGAGUUACGUCUGUCGUGAAAGCCCCGGGCUCAACCUGGGAAUGGCGAUGGAUACUGGCUCGCUAGAGUGCGGUAGAGGAGAGUGGAAUUCCCGGUGUAGCAGUGAAAUGCGUAGAGAUCGGGAGGAACAUCAGUUGCGAAGGCGGCUCUCUGGACCAGCACUGACACUGAGGCACGAAAGCGUGGGGAGCAAACAGG